rnacentral:rRNA from 11 species
ACCUGGUUGAUUCUGCCAGUAGUCAUACGCUCGUCUCAAAGAUUAAGCCAUGCAUGUCUAAGUUUAAGCAAUAAACGGUGAAACUGCGAAUGGCUCAUUAAAUCAGUCAUAGUUUAUUUGAUGGUACCCUACUACAUGGAUAACUGUGGUAAUUCUAGAGCUAAUACAUGCCGAAA